GAGGGUAGGUCCCUCGGAGUCGCCGUACAGGCGGAGGCUUCAAACCACCUACUGCUGCUGCGUUUAAGAGGCGUGGUAGUGAGCGAGCUAGGAAAAGGCCGGACUCGAUUUGGUCAGGU
rnacentral:ncRNA from 1 species